AAGUGCACCCUCAGUGGAAACCUCCAGGACUUAAUAAUCUGACUCUGGCUGAGUCUUAAGCCACAGAGUGGAGCUGAACCGCUGCAUUGUUCUGAGUCCGGCUCGCUCUGCGUUGGGACGGCUGCCUACAAUCAGCUCCACGGCGCCUGAGCAGGAAGUGACUGCAGCUCCGUCUCAGUGUUUGUGUGGGAACAGGCAUGGCUGUGAGAUGCUGGUGUGUACGAGGUUUUAUGAAGGCGCCAAGGGACUUAAAUAUCUGUCUGCACCGCUACGCUUUCCUUCUUCCCUCACAAAGAGAGAAUUCACUGCUGCAUCUCAAAACCAACAGAGAGCAAACCUGGGCCACCGCUUCUUUGUUUCCUGCAGAAAAACAACUCCAAUGAAAUAUGACAGCCUUGGAUAAAAUUGUCAAGUACAUCCGAGGGAACGGUGCUGCUCCAUCGGAUCCGGGAGACGUGGGAGGGGAGGUUCUGGGGAGGGCUGGUUUCUUUGCUCAAUAACAAAUCAAUUCUCAAUUCUCUGCCUCAUUUGAAGCUGCUGGCAAACUCCUGCAAAGCUUUGAAAUCCUAUUUAGUAAUCAAGCAUGAAAAGCCGUGGAUAAUAGGCCGUUAUGAGAUGCAGUUGAAGAAAGGAAAGAUAAGCUUAUUGUGUAAUUGAAAUAUCAUUUCCAUCACACGCAUUCAGAAGCGCGGUGUUGGAUCUGAUCGUUACUCUGAUCUAAUCUGCUUGUUUUUGUGGGCAGACGUGUGAAACUUCUACUAAUGCUGGACUGAGGUGAUAAUUACUUCACAAACUUUAAAGUCGUCCACGAUAUCUGCGAUGUUCUCCUGUCUGACUCCUUCCUGUCAGCUGCUCCUUUUGGCUCCAGAGCUGUUUUCUGUUUGAAGCCGCUCAGCAUGGGCAGCAUGACAGAGAGGCGGCUUCAUUCAGUCGACACACUUCACUCAAACACUCGGCACAAAACAAACACAGUAAGUUGCAGAUGUGGCUCCGUGGGAAACUUUGAUUUGGUGUAAAAGUGGGAGGUGUUGAAGCCGCUCUAAGAUCUUCUGGAAGUUUGUUGAAGGUAUUUUCAUCCAUGUUUGAAAUCCGAGCCACAUGAGAGCGCUUCAUGUUGCUUCAGAUCUAAAAUAAGGAGAAAGCUGCAGGUUUCACCAGGAUGCCACGUUACAGCAACACUUCCACGGGUUUCACACCAGCAGCUGUGUGUUUGAGGCCCUGCACUGCAAAGGCAGGGCACUGAACCCCAACCUGCCAAUCAAAGUGAUGUUAAAGAUGAGAUGUGAAGCCUCGUCUUGUGGUUUUUCAUCAGCACUAAACAGAGCAGCUUUUCUAAGAUUUACAAACACUGAACCGAUUAGAGGCAGUUACUGAAUGUUUGGACUACAAACCCGUUUGGACUACAAACCCGUUCGGACUACAAACCCGUUCGGACUACAAACCCGUUCGGACUACAAACCCGUUUGGACUACAAACCCGUUUGGACUACAAACCCGUUUGGACUACAAACCCGUUUGGACUACAAACCCGUCCCGUCCAGAACUGAAGAAGUUUUUUGGGUGAUGGUGAAACAUCCAGAUGUUUUGAGGUUUCUACUCAUGGAGCUGGAUAAAUAUUUGCAUCACGUUUCUCAUUUCUGUUGGUGAAAAACUUCAAGAAUGAUUUUCCAAAAUUCAAAAUGAUCAUUUAAACUGUAACUUUCAUGAACAACUCAGAUUGAAAUAGUUUACGGUAUAACAUGAAAAACACACGUGUGUGUGUGUGUGUGUGUGUGUGUGUGUGUGUGUGUGUGUGCGUGUGCGUGUGCGUGUGCGUGUGCGUGUGCGUGUGCGUGUGUGUGUGCGUGUGUGUGUGUGUGAGGUUUCUGGGUCUCCUGCAGUUUCAGCCAUUUUAAAACUUAAAGCUUGUGUUAAAAUAACUGCAGUCAGAACAAACUGGGCCCACAGCAUCAUCCUGAUGAUGAAAAAACCUGAAUUAUUUUUAGUUUUCUUUGUGCUCAGAUAUCAGAUAUCAUGUCUCCGUCUCACGUUUCUCUUAUUUGAUGUCAAAUUAAACUAAAACGAGUCGACAUGAGAUUAGGAAGCCCAGCUGCUCUUAAAGCAUUUUACCCCUGAAAACAUGAUUCAUGAAUAUCUGGUGGUUCUUUGAGGUUUUUAACGACCAUUCAGUGAAUAAUAAAAGGAUUUCUGAAGCAGGAAACAGAACAUUUCCCCUUUGAGAUAAGACUUGAUGAUAAAAACUUCCUUCAGCGGUGAAUUACUCCGGCUUCUGGACGUUAAUGUUGUCAAACCUUCAGUAGAUCAGAAUGUGGGAUUGGUUUUGAUCCUGUUUUCUUUCCGUCUGAAUCCAUCCAUCCUCCUCCCACUCGGUCAUUCAGGGUCCUGGUUUCCACCUGCAGCUCACACACACCCACAAAACAGACGAGUUAUGAAAAGAGUAAAUAAUGCAGCUUGAUCCCUGCGGAUGAUCUGCAGCCUUUGGUGCCCAGCCAGCCACAGGGUUAGAUUAAAUUUAAAUUAUCCACACAGAUGAGAAUAAAGCUGCCAUAAAAUGAACAAACUACGGAGGUGAGACAGUUGUUCUGUUCUGAAGACGCUCCCAGUGUUUUGGCACUCGAUUCUCUGGAUUCUAGUAUCGGACUAUCAGGUGGAAAAACAUCCACUGGAUUGUAUUUAGGAGUAUCAGCGUAAAGGGGGCUGAAUAUAAAUGCACAUCACAGGUUACAGAUUUUGAAAGAUCAGAGAUCGUAUUCCUUCCAGUAAUGCACGGAGGUUAUGAUGUGAGACACAGGAGAUGUUUGAGGGGUAUGAAUACUUAUGACUGUAGAUGAAGAGCCGGACGCAUUCUGCUGAGCUUUAACGGAUCUCUGCUGGAUCCACAGCGAGACUUUCUCCUGCAGCUACGGUUUUGGAGUGUUAUUUUAGAUGGCAGCUAUUUUCUCUCCCACGACUUUCAUUUGAUUGAUUUGAAUCUGAAGUUCAACCAGCCUUGAAGAAGUUUGGGCCCCGAAGCUUCUAGUUUUCUGAAAAACACUCGCCAGAAAAACCUGAGAAAAGAAAAAGGAAAGAACUUGUGCCUGGAACCAGAUGUGACGUUUCUGGAUCGUCAGACGCUUCUCAUCUGGUUUCAUCCUUAGUAGCUCACACCUGGAAAAUCAAUUCCCAGGAUGUUUUUUACUUUGAAAUAUGGAAUCAAACCUUUCUUUCUUUUCUGCUCAUUUUAGGGUCAGAGGUAAA